rnacentral:rRNA from 1 species
GUAGGUGGCAAGCGUUGUCCGGGAAUUAUUGGGGCGUAAAGCGCGCGCAGGCGGUUCUCUAAGUCUGAUGUGAAAGCCCACGGGCUCAACCGUGGAGGGUCAUUGGAAACUGGAGAACUUGAGUACAGAAGAGGAAAGCGGAAUUCCACGUGUAGCGGUGAAAUGCGUAGAGAUGUGGAGGAACACCAGUGGCGAAGGCGGCUUUCUGGUCUGUAACUGACGCUGAGGCGCGAAAGCGUGGGGAGCAAACAGGAUUAGAUACCCUGGUAGUCCACGCCGUAAACGAUGAGUGCUAAGUGUUAGGGGGUUUCCGCCCCUUAGUGCUGCAGCUAACGCACUAAGCACUCCGCCUGGGGAGUACGGCCGCAAAGGCUG